rnacentral:rRNA from 1 species
UACGUAGGGGGCGAGCGUUGUCCGGAGUUACUGGGCGUAAAGCGCACGCAGGCGGUCUGUUAAGUUUGGAGUUACAGUUGGUGGCUUAACUGCCAAAGUGCUUCGAAAACUGACAGACUUGAGGGCUUCAGAGGGACACGGAAUUCCGGGUGGAGUGGUGAAAUGCGUAGAGAUCCGGAGGAACACCAAAGGCGAAGGCAGUGUCCUGGGGAGUACCUGACGCUCAGGUGCGAAAGCCAGGGGAGCGAACGGG